rnacentral:rRNA from 1 species
GGACGAAAGUCUGACGGAGCAACGCCGCGUGAGUGAUGAAGGUUUUCGGAUCGUAAAACUCUGUUGUUAGGGAAGAACAAGUACCGUUCGAAUAGGGCGGUACCUUGACGGUACCUAACCAGAAAGCCACGGCUAACUACGUGCCAGCAGCCGCGGUAAUACGUAGGUGGCAAGCGUUGUCCGGAAUCAUUGGGCGUAAAGCGCGCGCAGGUGGUUCCUUAAGUCUGAUGUGAAAGCCCCCGGCUCAACCGGGGAGGGUCAUUGGAAACUGGGGAACUUGAGUGCAGAAGAGGAAAGUGGAAUUCCACGUGUAGCGGUGAAAUGCGUAGAGAUGUGGAGGAACACCAGUGGCGAAGGCGACUUUCUGGUCUGUAACUGACACUGAGGCGCGAAAGCGUGGGGAGCGAACAGGAUUAGAUACCCUGGUAGUCCACGCCGUAAACGAUGAGUGCUAAGUGUUAGGGGGUUUCCGCCCCUUAGUGCUGCAGCAAACGCAUUAAGCACUCCGCCUGGGGAGUACGG